CCGGAAGCUGAGGCAGGAGAAUGACGUGACCCCGGGAGGCGGAGCUUGCAGCGAACCGAUAUCGCGAUACUGCACUCCAGCCUGGGCGACAGAGCGAGACUCCCUCUCAAAAAAAAAAAAAAAACUGUUAGAAUGCCUAUUAGCUGCAUGAGGGGAAACAGUAACCAGAAAGUAGAGGACUGGACAACAUCUGGACCAAGGGAUCAAAAUUAACAUCAAUAAGUCCUAGAAUCAGGCGUUUCUUUAAGAGGCCCUACUUCCUCUAAUUGGAUAAUUCUAGAAACCGGUAUUUGAAUCUGAGGCGCCGUGGCUUAUGCCUGUAAUCCCAGCACUUUGGGAGGCCAAGGUGGGCGGAUCACCUGAGUUUGGGAGUUCAAGACCAGCCUGACCAACAUGGAGAAACCCCGUCUCUACUAAAAAUACAAAAUUAGCCGGGUGUGGUGGUGCAUGCCUGUAAUGCCAGCUACUCGGGAGCCUAAGGCAGGAGAAUCGCUUGAACCUGGGAGGUGGGGGUUGCGGUGAGCCGAGAUCGCGCCAUAGCACUCCAGCCUGGGCAACAAGAGUGAAACUUCAUCUGAAAAAAAAAAAAGGAAAAGGAAAAGAAAAUUAUACAUUUUUUGCCCAAAACAAAAAUGUGUUCACAAAUUUUAUUUUCCACCAUUUGGAAAUGCGUCUAUAGGCAUACAAGGUCAAGCUUAUAAUUUUCAUAAAUGUAAUUUUGCAAAUCUCAUAAAAACUAAAACUCCUUUUACAUAAUGUAAUGAAUAGGUGAUGGUGGCAUGCAUAAUGCAAUUUUCACAAAUGAAGUUAAAUGUGAGUUCAUAUUUCUGUAUUCAAGAAAAAUAUGAACUAACUCAAUAAAGAUGAGCAAUAUUAACCUUAAGGAGUUAAUCAUCAGAGUGAAUGAGGGAAAAUAGUAUAAUUAGCAAUGUAUGAAGGUAGUCAUUAAGGUGAACCAAGGCACAUAAUAUAGCUUCCCAUAUAAUAUAAACAAAAACCAAAGUUCCCAUAGCAACACAAACUUUUCUCCAACGUACACGUACUAUACAUUGGAUUACUGGUUAGAGCUUUAAUUUACAGUUUCUUUUCCAUUUGUGUAA
rnacentral:lncRNA from 1 species